GGACUCUACUGGGCCCUUGAAGAUGGAAGGGCAGUAAAACAUACACAUACCUUUUCUCAUCAUGGACAAAAUACUGUGCUGAGUCAUAAUUUUUAAGACAAAUAGCCAAUAUUUGUUAUGCAGCACCCUACAGCACAACUGAUGAACAAAAGACAUUUAACUAAUUUAAAUCAAAUGUCUUUAUUGUCACAAUACAAUGAACACAAGUAUACAGGUGGUGAAAGUCUUGAGUGGAGACUGCAGCGUGACAGUAUGGAUGACAAAUUAAUUAAUUCAUGAAUAUAUAUGAAAUACAAAUUCUGAAUAUAUAUAUGCAACAUACAUAUAUAAGGGACUCAAUUCAGGUAGAGAACAAUAUGUUAAAAAUUAUGCUAUACAGAGAGCAUGAAUUGAAAACAAUAAUAAUCACAGUACACAUACAUCUCUGCAGUAAAGCACGGUAUGAAUUAGUGCAAACAGAAUGUCAGGGUGCAUAAUAAUAUUGAGUCCAGUCAGCAUAACUGAUAAGAGUGCAGGGCAUAUGAGGUUGGUGGGGUGCGUAUGGUUUUACUGGUAUGAGUUCAGUUCAGUCUGAUUGCC